rnacentral:lncRNA from 1 species
GUUAACCAUGCUAUCUUGAAAAGAAAAUAAAAAUGUUAAAAAAUACUAAGCCCCAUGUGAGUAUGCUCGUGGCAUGAAACCCAUAAGUACAUUCACUGUGGUGGCGUAAAAAUAAAAUAAAUAUAUUCUUGUCCUAUAGAAAUGAAAAUAUAAAAAUAAAUUUAUGAUCCUACCAAAGAGAGUAAUAUUUAUUAGAGGAAGCUCAAC